rnacentral:lncRNA from 1 species
ACACAGACUCUCCAUUCGCUCUGAACCGGAGCCACCUCCCGCCUCCACCUCCUUCUCCAGUCGCCACCCCCUUUCUCUCUCUCUCUCUCUCUCUCCCUCCCCCCCCCUGGGCUCUGCUAAUCAUAUAAACAUAUUAUCAUGUAUAGAAACGGGGGCCGUAAAAAAAAAAAAACAUCCCACAGAAAACGGAAAAGCUCGCCUCCUUCUCCUUUCCCUCGUCACCCCACCAACCCCAGCUAGUGGGGUGUUGUUGGUUUUUUUGGCAAAUAAAAGCAGAUUAGAGGGAGCUAAGUAGUACCAAACGUGAAGGAGAUAAUCUAAAGGCUCUAUCUGCCACCACUGGCCAUUUUCCACUCCAUUUGAGCUGCUCGCGGCGGCGGCGGCGGCUGCACGGCUUUGGGGGAGAGGCAUAGAGAAGAAGGUGGGCGAGAGAGAGAGAAUGAAGGGGGAAGAGAGAGAGGGGGGUGACGAUCUGGCGGCGCUGGCAGCGGCAGCAGCAGCAGCAGCCGUGAAAUUCCUCCGACUGCCGAAAGGAUUUUCUUCUCCAUCCAUCUCCGCCUACAGACGCACGCGCGCGCACACACACAGACAUACACACAGACACCAUCCGUUUCCAAAAUAAAAGGUGCUUUUCUUUUGUCUGAGAACCGAUGGCUUUUAAAAAUUAAACUCUCGGCCUGGGAUUGUUCACACGUUGUCAUUUGACAUGCCUUCUGACAUGGCGGCUCGUGAAUUGUGAGCUCUGUGGCGUAAUGUUAUGUUUCCAAGAGGGUGAUGUUGAGGGAAAAGUAACAGGAACCCUACACAUAGUGUAUUAUAUCACAGUACAGUACAUGGUUACUGGGGGGGGCACCAAACGUCUCUCGUUGCUUACACAUUAAUCUUGGCUGUACUGCCCACUGAUCUGAAUAAUUAUUAUUGCUAGUAUUAUUCCAUAUAUUGUCCAAGCAUUUCAAGGCAUGAUGCUCACAUUUUAACCAGUUGACAGUAUAUGUUUUUGUGCCUCAGGUUCACCCAGAGGAAUUCAAGGCUGGGUCAGAAAAUGGAACCAGAUCAUCCUGUUUCAGAACUAUCCACUGCAACAUAUUCAACACCACCAUUUAAUGGGAAUCCUCCAGUGAGCUUCAGAUUUUUGUUUGGUACUAAGUAACAAUGCUGCAGAAGUAGUAACUGUAAAUGGUUCUCUUGCAAAGCAUGUUAAUUCCCCAGAAAAAAAUAAAGUUUAUAUUGUGAUUGACGUAGCUAUGGGC